rnacentral:rRNA from 1 species
UGGGGAAUUUUGCGCAAUGGGCGAGAGCCUGACGCAGCAACGCCGCGUGAGUGAUGAAGGCCUUCGGGUCGUAAAGCUCUGUCAGAGGGAAAGAACAACCUGUCGGUUAAUACCCGGCGGGCCUGACGGUACCCUCAAAGGAAGCACCGGCUAACUCCGUGCCAGCAGCCGCGGUAAUACGGAGGGUGCGAGCGUUGUUCGGAAUUAUUGGGCGUAAAGCGCGUGUAGGCGGUUGUUUAAGUCUGAUGUGAAAGCCCCGGGCUUAACUUGGGAAGUGCAUUGGAAACUGGGCAACUGGAGUACGGGAGAGGGUAGUGGAAUUCCGAGUGUAGGGGUGAAAUCCGUAGAUAUUCGGAGGAACACCGGUGGCGAAGGCGGCUACCUGGACCGAUACUGACGCUG